AUGGUCCAUUUUGUAUAGCAUAAGCGGAGGCGUGCUAAUAAUGAACAUUUCUUAAAAACCACCUCAGCAGUUCAGCAUAUCAUCUUGUUAGAAGCUACGGAUAUAUUCAUCACUUUGACCAAUAGGAAAGCUUCAUCGGAAUGGUCAAUGGAGGCCGAGUUUCAAUGAUUGUGAAAAAAAACCUGUGGAAUGCGGACCAAUAUAAUUUAGAUGAAAAUAAAGCAUCUUUACUUUGCCAUUUAAUUUGCUUCACUUAAUUCGCGCCGAUCCGGUGGAUCCGGUGGAUACCUGUUUAUUUCGACAUUCUGGCUCGAUCGUCAUCUUUCUGAUUGAAGAAGGAAAUCUACAACCAUGACUGAACGCAAGGCCGUGAUCAAGAACGCUGAUAUGUCAGAAGAUAUGCAGCAAGACGCCAUCGACUGCGCCUCCCAGGCAAUGGAAAAAUUCAACAUCGAGAAGGACAUCGCAGCCCACGUCAAGAAGGAAUUCGACAAGAAGUUCAACCCUACUUGGCAUUGCAUAGUGGGUCGCAACUUCGGCAGCUAUGUGACGCACGAAACAAAGCAUUUCAUCUACUUUUAUCUGGGUCAAAUCGCCAUCUUACUUUUCAAGUCUGGAUAGACUUUGGAAUGUGGUAUUAGAACUGCUUCUCUAAUUUAACCACACGUUAAUAAACUAACAUGCACCUUCAGUACAUUAUCAAUGAUUAAAUUCAUCAGCCGAGCAAAUAUCAGCCAUGAAUCCUUGAAACUUCAUUUUUGGACAACGAGACGAAAUCUCCCUGGCCUCUGAAGAAGCCCCAGACCCGAUGUUGUUCGGGUACUUUUCUAAGGAAAAGCCAUCACCUUGAUCCACAUUGGUACUUUCAUCCAUGACUGCAACGUUGAAUGCGACGAUGGCAACGCUGAUCAUGGCGAUGACGACGGUCAUGGCAACUGGGUGACGACAGUUGGGACAAUAUCAAAAUGAGACGAAGCAUCGACAAGUCAUCUGCAAAUGAUUUCCGAAAGGAAAAGAGAUGAUAUUGAAAAAAAAAACAGACCAGAAACUAAAUAGACUAUAUACAUCGUUUAUAAUAUUUCAUGUUUGUAUAAUAUCAGAUGUUUGAGACAUCUUCAGACGUUCUUUUACCUGUUUACAUUAAAAAUAAAGCCGAAUUUCUGUGGAUAAAAAAAAGGGGGGCACAUUUUCCCCGAGGAAAAAUUUUUGACAGGCAAAAAAAAAAUUUUUUUAAUGGUUUUCAACCUAACCUAAAAUAAUGACAUUUCGUCCACGAACAUUUUUGACAAGAAAAAAAAAGGUCUUCAGGGGGGCACACUUUUACAUUACAAAUUUUAAUUGUGCCUCUCAAAGGGGGGGGCACGGGCCGGCUGUGCCCCCCCCCUCCUGGAUCCGCCAGUGCAUUUUACGAUUGAAUAAAUACUUCAAUAAAUAUAUCUAUGCAAAUCUAUUUGCAUAUUCUGUACAAUCGAUUAAAAAAACUCGAAAGUUGGUUAUAUUUUUAUUAUGCUUUAUCAAAAAUGAUUGGUUGAUUGUUUUGCUAUCUCCUGGUGGAUUGGGGUGCCUAGGGGAAUUAUCGUUAAACGAAAUUCGAUUGGAGCUUGCGUAAUCAAUCGUAAUUCUUGCAAUCAGAAUGGAAAUAAUAUAUAUUUUUUAAUUGAUCUUCUGUUUUGUGCAACAAAACAUCAAUUUGAUUGGUUAUAUAUUUAAAAUUCAUCCCUGGAACUUUUUAUCAUGUAAUUUUUGCAGUCGCUAGCAAAUCAUUCUCUUUCAGCAUCAGCCAUCGUGGCCAUUGCAAUGCUUUUUCUGGCAAGCUUUCGCAUAAGCGUUCGCAUUGUCAAGUACUAUCUUCGCAUGAAAAGUAAUAAAUAAUAAAUAAAAAAUUUA